rnacentral:rRNA from 1 species
GCUCAGGAUGAACGCUAGCGGCAGGCUUAACACAUGCAAGUCGUGGGGCAGCGCAAGGGUAGCAAUACUCUGGCGGCGACCGGCAAACGGGUGCGGAACACGUACGCAACCUUCCUCAAAGCGGGGGAUAGCCUCUCGAAAGAGAGAUUAAUACCCCAUAGUAUCUCGAAACUGCAUGGUUUUGAGAUUAAAGCUCCGGCACUUUGAGAUGGGCGUGCGGCUGAUUAGGUAGUUGGUAGGGUAACGGCCUACCAAGCCGACGAUCAGUAGCUGAUGUGAGAGCAUGAUCAGCCACACGGGCACUGAGACACGGGCCCGACUCCUACGGGAGGCAGCAGUGAGGAAUAUUGGUCAAUGGAGGCAACUCUGAACCAGCCAUGCCGCGUGAAGGAUGAAGGUCCUCUGGAUUGUAAACUUCUUUUAUAGAAGAAGAAACCCCGGAUUUCUAUCUGGGUUGACGGUACUCUAUGAAUAAGCACCGGCUAACUCCGUGCCAGCAGCCGCGGUAAUACGGAGGGUGCAAGCGUUAUCCGGAUUCACUGGGUUUAAAGGGAGCGUAGGUGGGCUUGUAAGUCAGCGGUGAAAUCCCCGAGCUUAACUUGGGAACUGCCAUUGAUACUACAAGUCUUGAAUUCUGUGGAGGUAAGCGG